rnacentral:rRNA from 1 species
GAUGAACGCUGGCGGCGUGCCUAAUACAUGCAAGUCGAGCGAACAGACGAGGAGCUUGCUCCUCUGACGUUAGCGGCGGACGGGUGAGUAACACGUGGAUAACCUACCUAUAAGACUGGGAUAACUUCGGGAAACCGGAGCUAAUACCGGAUAAUAUAUUGAACCGCAUGGUUCAAUAGUGAAAGACGGUUUUGCUGUCACUUAUAGAUGGAUCCGCGCCGCAUUAGCUAGUUGGUAAGGUAACGGCUUACCAAGGCAACGAUGCGUAGCCGACCUGAGAGGGUGAUCGGCCACACGGGAACGGAGACACGGUCCAGACGCCUACGGGAGGCAGCAGUAGGGAAUCUGCCGCAGUGGGCGAAAGCCUUACGGAGCAACGCCGCGUGAGUGAUGAAGGUCUUCGGAUCGUAAAACUCGGUUAUUAGUGAAGAACAAAUUUGGAAGUAGCUAUGCACGUCUUGACGGUACCUAAUCAGAAAGCCACGGCUAACUACGUG